UGGAAAGAUGAAUCAAAGAAGGUAAUAAUCCUGUAGUCGAAAAUGUUGUCUCUCUUGAGUGGAUCCUGAGUACGACGGAGCACGUGAAAUUCCGUCGGAAUCUGGGAGGACCAUCUCCUAAGGCUAAAUACUCUCUAGUGACCGAUAGUGAACCAGUACCGUGAGGGAAAGGUGAAAAGCACCCCGGAAGGGGAGUGAAAUAGAACCUGAAACCGUGUGCUUACAAGUAGUCAGAGCCCGUUAAUGGGUGAUGGCGUGCCUUUUGUAGAAUGAACCGGCGAGUUACGAUUUGAUGCAAGGUUAAGCAGUAAAUGUGGAGCCGUAGCGAAAGCGAGUCUGAAUAGGGCGUUUAGUAUUUGGUCGUAGACCCGAAACCAGGUGAUCUACCCUUGGUCAGGUUGAAGUUCAGGUAACACUGAAUGGAGGACCGAACCGACUUACGUUGAAAAGUGAGCGGAUGAACUGAGGGUAGCGGAGAAAUUCCAAUCGAACCUGGAGAUAGCUGGUUCUCUCCGAAAUAGCUUUAGGGCUAGCCUCAAGUGAUGAUUAUUGGAGGUAGAGCACUGUUUGGACGAGGGGCCCCUCUCGGGUUACCGAAUUCAGACAAACUCCGAAUGCCAAUUAAUUUAACUUGGGAGUCAGAACAUGGGUGAUAAGGUCCGUGUUCGAAAGGGAAACAGCCCAGACCACCAGCUAAGGUCCCAAAAUAUAUGUUAAGUGGAAAAGGAUGUGGCGUUGCCCAGACAACUAGGAUGUUGGCUUAGAAGCAGCCAUCAUUUAAAGAGUGCGUAAUAGCUCACUAGUCGAGUGACACUGCGCCGAAAAUGUACCGGGGCUAAACAUAUUACCGAAGCUGUGGAUUGUCCUUUGGACAAUGGUAGGAGAGCGUUCUAAGGGCGUUGAAGCAUGAUCGUAAGGACAUGUGGAGCGCUUAGAAGUGAGAAUGCCGGUGUGAGUAGCGAAAGACGGGUGAGAAUCCCGUCCACCGAUUGACUAAGGUUUCCAGAGGAAGGCUCGUCCGCUCUGGGUUAGUCGGGUCCUAAGCUGAGGCCGACAGGCGUAGGCGAUGGAUAACAGGUUGAUAUUCCUGUACCACCUAUAAUCGUUUUAAUCGAUGGGGGGACGCAGUAGGAUAGGCGAAGCGUGCGAUUGGAUUGCACGUCUAAGCAGUAAGGCUGAGUAUUAGGCAAAUCCGGUACUCGUUAAGGCUGAGCUGUGAUGGGGAGAAGACAUUGAGUCUUCGAGUCGUUGAUUUCACACUGCCGAGAAAAGCCUCUAGAUAGAAAAUAGGUGCCCGUACCGCAAACCGACACAGGUAGUCAAGAUGAGAAUUCUAAGGUGAGCGAGCGAACUCUCGUUAAGGAACUCGGCAAAAUGACCCCGUAACUUCGGGAGAAGGGGUGCUCUUUAGGGUUAACGCCCAGAAGAGCCGCAGUGAAUAGGCCCAAGCGACUGUUUAUCAAAAACACAGGUCUCUGCUAAACCGUAAGGUGAUGUAUAGGGGCUGACGCCUGCCCGGUGCUGGAAGGUUAAGAGGAGUGGUUAGCUUCUGCGAAGCUACGAAUCGAAGCCCCAGUAAACGGCGGCCGUAACUAUAACGGUCCUAAGGUAGCGAAAUUCCUUGUCGGGUAAGUUCCGACCCGCACGAAAGGCGUAACGAUUUGGGCACUGUCUCAACGAGAGACUCGGUGAAAUCAUAGUACCUGUGAAGAUGCAGGUUACCCGCGACAGGACGGAAAGACCCCGUGGAGCUUUACUGUAGCCUGAUAUUGAAAUUCGGCACAGCUUGUACAGGAUAGGUAGGAGCCUUUGAAACGUGAGCGCUAGCUUACGUGGAGGCGCUGGUGGGAUACUACCCUAGCUGUGUUGGCUUUCUAACCCGCACCACUUAUCGUGGUGGGAGACAGUGUCAGGCGGGCAGUUUGACUGGGGCGGUCGCCUCCUAAAAGGUAACGGAGGCGCUCAAAGGUUCCCUCAGAAUGGUUGGAAAUCAUUCAUAGAGUGUAAAGGCAUAAGGGAGCUUGACUGCGAGACCUACAAGUCGAGCAGGGUCGAAAGACGGACUUAGUGAUCCGGUGGUUCCGCAUGGAAGGGCCAUCGCUCAACGGAUAAAAGCUACCCCGGGGAUAACAGGCUUAUCUCCCCCAAGAGUUCACAUCGACGGGGAGGUUUGGCACCUCGAUGUCGGCUCAUCGCAUCCUGGGGCUGUAGUCGGUCCCAAGGGUUGGGCUGUUCGCCCAUUAAAGCGGUACGCGAGCUGGGUUCAGAACGUCGUGAGACAGUUCGGUCCCUAUCCGUCGUGGGCGUAGGAAAUUUGAGAGGAGCUGUCCUUAGUACGAGAGGACCGGGAUGGACAUACCUCUGGUGUACCAGUUGUCGUGCCAACGGCAUAGCUGGGUAGCUAUGUGUGGACGGGAUAAGUGCUGAAAGCAUCUAAGCAUGAAGCCCCCCUCAAGAUGAGAUUUCCCAACUUCGGUUAUAAGAUCCCUCAAAGAUGAUGAGGUUAAUAGGUUCGAGGUGGAAGCAUGGUGACAUGUGGAGCUGACGAAUACUAAUCGAUCGAAGACUUAAUCAA
rnacentral:rRNA from 1 species